GACGAACGCUGGCGGCGUGCUUAACACAUGCAAGUCGAGCGGAGCGGCGGACGGGUGAGGAACGCGUGAGUAACUGCCCCCCUCUCUGGGGUAACAGUUGGACACGGCUGCUAAUACAGGAUAGUGGGGGAUGACUGGGGGCCUAUCAGCUGGUUGUGGGGGUAGUGGCCUACCAAGGGGACGACGGUCAGCCGGCCUGAGAGGGCGACCGGCCACAUUGGGCUGAGAUACGGCCCAAACUCCUACGGGAGGCAGCAGUGGGGAAUAUUGCACAAUGGGGGAAACCCUGAUGCAGCAACGCGCGUGCGGGAUGACGGCCUUCGGGUUGUAAACCGCUUUAAGCCAUGACGCGGUAGUGGCAGAAGAAGCACCGGCUAACUACGUGCCAGCCGCCGCGGUAAUUC
rnacentral:rRNA from 1 species